GCUACUCCCCACCACCAGCACCCAAAGCUGAUAUUCUAAUUAAACUACUUCUUG
rnacentral:tRNA from 1 species